GUGCCAGCAGCCGCGGUAAUACAGACGGUCCAAACGUUAUUCGGAAUUACUGGGCUUAAAGAGUUCGUAGGCGGUCCAGAAAGUGGGGUGUGAAAGCCCUCGGCUCAACCGAGGAACUGCGCUCCAAACUACUGGACUUGAGGAGGCUAGAGGUAAGCGGAACUGAUGGUGGAGCGGUGAAAUGCGUUGAUAUCAUCAGGAACACCGGAGGCGAAGGCGGCUUACUGGGGCCUUUCUGACGCUGAGGAACGAAAGCCAGGGGAGCGAACGGGAUUAGAUACCCCAGUAGUCC
rnacentral:rRNA from 1 species